UGCCCGUGUCGGCCCCCGGGACAGAUGCAGGUGGCCGCACGCCCUCCCCGCUGCCGCUCAGACGCGAACAACAAAAGCUUUGUCGUUGCCUUUCCAGCCUAGAUGAGAUCAAUAAGUUCUGGAAACGGGAGAACAGCUGACCUUUGAGAUUUCUAGCAAAACUUCAAAGUUUGCUUUGGGCUCUGGCUCAGGACCGGGGGCAAGUCUCAAGGUGCCCGAAAGACCCUCCUGCCCCGACAUGGUCCCCCCACUCGGGGGUCCGGCAGAGGCGAAGGGGCAAGACCAGGUCCACACAGGCCCCUGAGGGGCGGGCUCUGCGGAGGCAUGGAUCCGGCAGGUUGCGUAGACUAGCCGCUCCCCGGGGGCCCCGCUGUGGCUUCGAAGCUUUGGGGGCGCCAUGGGGGCUGGCACCUGACGCCAGGUCCACUCUGCUGCCUGCCUCAGCGCCCCCCGACUGGCAGGCGGGGCACUGGGGACCGUGGAUGCACCACCCAACAUACAUACGCUGCAGGCACGCAGUGGACCGGGAGCCCCGGCGGCUUCUCUGCUCCUGGAGCCCACGGGGUCCAGGGGUGAGGAGGGCACACACGUCAACAGAAACAGCAGCAUCUGGCCUGAGCUUUGGGAAAUGCGUAAACCGUCUCUGGGAUGGACUCGUCUCUCGGGCAGGACAUCUGGGGAGAGCGCGCCAGCUCCCAGUCAGUACCUGCCGCCUGCAGCCACGUGGAGCACGUCCACGGUGGACACAUCAGUAGCGGACGUGAGCCCCCUUGCCCCGCUUGCUGGCUCUUCCCUGAUAGGUCCUGCUUCUCGUGAGUGCGUGUGCUAAGUCACUUCAGUCAUGUCUGACUCUUUGCGAGACCCCAGGGACUGCAGCCCACCAGGCUC